CUGGCGGCGUGGAUUAGGCAUGCAAGUCGAGCGCGAAAGUCCCUUCGGGGGCGAGUAGAGCGGCGAAAGGGUGAGUAAUGCAUGGUCAAUCUGCCCCUGAGACCUGGAUAACCGACCGAAAGGGCGGCUAAUACAGGAUGGUCUGACCCGGGCCUCGGCUCGGAUCAGUAAACGGUAGGGAUUCUUCGGAACCUUCUGCUCGGGGAGGAGACCAUGUCCCAUCAGCUAGUUGGCGGGGUAACGGCCCACCAAGGCAAUGACGGGUAGCUGGCCUGAGAGGGUGGUCAGCCACACUGGGACUGAGACACUGCCCAGACUCCUACGGGAGGCUGCAGUCGAGAAUCAUCCGCAAUGGGCGAAAGCCUGACGGUGCGACGCCGCGUGGAGGAUGAAUGCCUUCGGGUUGUAAACUCCUGUCACAGGUUAUGAAUGGCGUAGUGCUAAUACCACUGCGUUUGACAAAAGCUUGAGAGGAAGCAUCGGCUAACUCCGUGCCAGCAGCCGCGGUAAUACGGAGGAUGCAAGCGUUAUCCGGAUUUACUGGGUUUAAAGGGUGCGCAGGCGGAACGAUCAGUCAGUGGUGAAAUCUCCCGGCUUAACCGGGAAACUGCCAUUGAUACUAUCGCUCUUGAGUCCAGUUGAAGUAGGCGGAAUGUAGCAUGUAGCGGUGAAAUGCUUAGAUAUGCUACAGAACACCGAUAGCGAAGGCAGCUUACUAAACUGAAACUGACGCUCAGGCACGAAAGCGUGGGUAGCAAACAGGAUUAGAUACCCUGGUAGUCCACGCCCUAAACGA
rnacentral:rRNA from 1 species